AAACGUCUUGCCGGUCUGUGAAAAGUGAAGCAAGUGAAAAGUAGAAAAUUAACUUGGACUGUAAAAGUAGCAAAAUAAGGAACAAUAGAAUAUUAUUACACCAUCGCGGAAUCAUGUAUUGCAUUCAGCAAAAUGUCUUCCUUUACGAACGCUUCGCGAAUUAUUCAGAUAUUAAACAAUAACAACAGGGUCUGAUAGCGAUACAGAGGGCGAGAUCAAAACACAACUGACCAAGUCACAUAUAAUAUUCGUUUGCCGAGUGAUAAGUGCAUAAGUGAUAAGUGCUUUGAGUGAAUAUUACAAACGGGCACACGCGCACAUAAUUUUUGCUACUUCGAGCCGUAUUCCACGUCGACCGAUAACAGCAACGCUGCUUGGAAAGGAGGAGGAAUCAACCAAGACAUCGACGCAACAGUACCGCACGACGCUCAUUGCCAGCUAACGAGCAUCUGUCUUU